rnacentral:rRNA from 1 species
GACGAACGCUGGCGGCGUGCUUAACACAUGCAAGUCGAACGGAAAGGCCCCAGCUUGCUGGGGUACUCGAGUGGCGAACGGGUGAGUAACACGUGGGUGAUCUGCCCUGCACUCUGGGAUAAGCCUGGGAAACUGGGUCUAAUACCGGAUAGGACCGUGCUUUAGUGUGUGCGGUGGAAAGUUUUUCGGUGCAGGAUGAGCCCGCGGCCUAUCAGCUUGUUGGUGGGGUAAUGGCCUACCAAGGCGGCGACGGGUAGCCGGCCUGAGAGGGUGUACGGCCACAUUGGGACUGAGACACGGCCCAGACUCCUACGGGAGGCAGCAGUGGGGAAUAUUGCACAAUGGGCGCAAGCCUGAUGCAGCGACGCCGCGUGGGGGAUGACGGCCUUCGGGUUGUAAACCCCUUUCGGCUGGGACGAAGCUUUUGUGACGGUACCUGCAUAAGAAGCACCGGCUAACUACGUG